GACCUGCUGAGCUUUUCCAGCAACUUCUGUUUUUGUUCCUGAUAGACAGCAUCCAUAGUUCUUUUAUUUUUCAUUUCUCAUGUUACUGAAAUUGCUCAUUCAGAGAAUAAUCUAGAGAACCUCCUCUGCAGCCUGUCCAAAGAGCUAACGUCUUCCUGAAGUAGAUAUGCAAACAGGCUAAAGGGACUUGCUGACCACCUCAUGUUCUCGUAUUCCCUUCCACAGACUGUUGGAAGGGGAUGAAAAGAUGCAGAAAUUUCUUCAGAACCAAUGCCAAGAUCCAAUUUUGGCCCCACCUCCUUUGGCAGUUUCAGGUGACAUGAUGGGUACAGUCUGAAGAAGCCUAAAGGUGUUGAGUUGGAAUUAGCUUUGGCUGGGUUAGGAUUAUCUUUGUAUGGGGAAAGGUGCAAUCAAUGCAAUUGUGAAAUGAGUGAUGGAAAUGAGAUGAAGGUGCAUCAGCAGUUUACAGUAAUGUAGUAGUAAGCACCUUCAUAGCCUGGUAAUUAACAUAUACUUCCUUGCAGGUGAGGACAAAUGCUGACAAGAGACUCCUUGAUAUACUCCUCCUGGAGAAUCUGUUGAAGAUUCUUGGGAACCAGGGGAGAAGAUUGCCUGAAAAGAUUGAGCUGGACAGGCUAUUAGACAGUUGGAUGCUCGAUGUCCUUUUCAGGCAAUAUUUGAACAUUACCCAACACCAUUGUCUAUUUACUAAGAAUGUGGCACUGAAGGAUUACCACAGAAAGGCAUUUACUGAUGUGGUGCUGGAUGUGAUCUUGACAGAGCUGAGUGAACACGUGGACAAAGACUUGGCUGAUCUCUUCCGGUACGAACGGCAAAUGGAGGAGACGGACUUAAUCACAGACAGUGGUUAUCGUGGAGUCUGAGACGGGGGCGAGCUAUCCGAGAUGGGGACAGUAGUGUGUAGGUCUACAGCUGUAAACCAUUAUGUUUUUGCAAUUUAUCUUUUGAACUUCCAGUAAACCAGAACUGAAGUCUCAUUUUGUAAAUGUUGAUUUAACCCAAAAGUGGUUGUGUUUUAAAGUCAAACUGGUUAAUUAUAGAUAUAUUUUCUAACCAUAGAUUUUGUUUUACCCUGUAUCCGAGGAUUUCAUACGUAGCUGUGGUUUUGACUGGAUAUUCUUCCCCUCUGCUUCUGAUGUUUACAUCAGGAUUCUUUUGGCAUUGCUUAAAAAGAGGAAUUGACUGUAUUGAACCUGAUGACCCUUGUCCUGCAUGGUGGAGAAUAACUAGCCUUGCAUGGGGUGGUCAAUGAACUAGAGUUUGAUUUGAUAAGCAGAGUACAUGUGAGAGACAUUAUCACGGAUUGGUCAACAACUUGGUACACGUUUUGAUAACUCUGCAAGAGAUAACACUCAUAUUUUGAUCAGACCUUCUGUUUUGAGAAAUUCAAAUGGAAGUCUUGAACAAUUUGGAUGAAGCCACAAAUUUGGCACACUAUUUCACUGCUACAGCCAAGUUGGGGGGGAGGUGGUGACUGCCCAGAGUAUCCAGCCCCAUGUACCGUUUUGUGGAGACUUGGUCUUAUGUGCCAACUCCAUGUCUUAUCAUUUUAGAGAUUUGACUUAGACAUAUUAACUUAGAGUUCUUUUUACCAUUUUGGAUCCUGUUUAGACCAGGUCGGGGUUCAUAGAUUCAUACAGCGCAAACAAGACCCUUCAAUCCACCGAGUCUACACUGACAUAAUGACCACUAAAAGUGUGCUAAUCCCAAUUUCCUGCAUUUGUCCCAUACCCUUGAAUGAUAUGAUGUUUCAAAGACUAAUCCAAAUAUUUUUCAGAAGUUUAUAGGGUAUCCAGCCUCUUCUACCUUCCCAGGCAGUGCAUUCCAAAUUCCCACCACCUGCUGAGUGAAAAAGUUGUUUUUUUCCCCCUAAAACCCUCUGAAUCUCCUGAUCCUUACCCCAAAACUAUGCCCUCUUGUGAUUGACCCCUCAACCAAGGGGAACAGCUGCUCUCUAUUCACCCUGCUCAUACCUCUAAUAAUCUUGUAUCAGUCAUGUCCCCCCUCAGUCUUCUCUGCUCUAAAGAAAACAAUCCAAGUCUAUCUAGGCUUUCCUUUAUAGCUGAAUUUCUCCAUCACAGGCAACAUCCUGAUGAACCUCCUCUGUACCCUCUCCAGUGCCAGCACGUCCUUCCUAUAAUAUACAUUUUGGUAGGAGUAAUAGUAAAAAGGAUUAUUACUUGAAUGGUAAAAAGUUGCAGCAUGCUGCUAUGCAGAGGGACCUGGGUGUCCAUGUGCAUGAAUCACAGAAUGUAGGUCUGCAGGUACAACAAGUAAUUAGGAAGGCAAAUGGAAUUUUGUCCUUCAUUGCUAAAGGGAUUGAGAUUAAAAGCAGAGAGGUUAUGUUGCAGCUGUACAAGGUGCUGGUGAGGCCACACCUGGAGUACUGUGUGCAGUUUUGAUCUCCUUACUUGAGAAAGGAUGUACUGGCACUGGAGGGGGUGCAAAGGAGGUUCACUAGGUUGAUUCCGGAGUUGAGGGGGUUGGCUUAUGAGGAGAGCCUGAGUAGAUUGGGAUUAUGUUCAUUGGAAUUCAGAAAAUUGAGGGGGGAUCUUAUAGAAACAUAUAAAAUAAUGAAGGGAGUAGAUAAGAUAGAAGUAGAGAGGAUGUUUCCACUGGCAGGUGAAGCUAGGACAAGAGGGCAUAGCCUCAAGAUUAAAGGGAGCAGAUUUAGGACUGAGUUGAGAAGGAACUUCUUCACCCAGAGUGUUGUUAAUCUAUGGAAUUCCUUGCCCAGUGAAGUAGUUGACGCUACUUCAGUAAACGUUUUUAAAGAUAAGGUAGAUAUUUUUUUGAACAAUAAAGGAAUUAAGGGAUACGGUGAGAACGCGGGUAAGUGGAUCUGAGUCCACGAAAAGAUUAGCCAUGAUCUUAUUGAAUGGCGGAGCAGGCUCAAAGGGCCAGAUGGCCUACUCCUGCUCCUAGUUCUUAUGUUCUUAUAAUGAGGUUUCCUUGUAAUAUUUGUGCUGUGAAGAAGUUGCAUUUCUUCCUUUAUACAAAGUGUUCUGUUUCCUUUAAAUUUUCUAACUUUUGUAAUUUAGCAUUUAUCAUUUUGUUCUUGUUAUAACAUCAUAUCCAAUAAAAUGGUUGUCUUAACACA